rnacentral:rRNA from 1 species
ACCACCAGCUAAGGUCCCAAAAUAUAUGUUAAGUGGAAAAGGAUGUGGCGUUGCCCAGACAACUAGGAUGUUGGCUUAGAAGCAGCCAUCAUUUAAAGAGUGCGUAAUAGCUCACUAGUCGAGUGACACUGCGCCGAAAAUGUACCGGGGCUAAACAUAUUACCGAAGCUGUGGAUUGUCCUUUGGACAAUGGUAGGAGAGCGUUCUAAGGGCGUCGAAGCAUGAUCGCAAGGACAUGUGGAGCGCUUAGAAGUGAGAAUGCCGGUGUGAGUAGCGAAAGACGGGUGAGAAUCCCGUCCACCGAUUGACUAAGGUUUCCAGAGGAAGGCUCGUCCGCUCUGGGUUAGUCGGGUCCUAAGCUGAGGCCGACAGGCGUAGGCGAUGGAUAACAGGUUGAUAUUCCUGUACCACCUAGUAUCGUUUUAAUCGAUGGGGGGACGCAGUAGGAUAGGCGAAGCGUGCUGUUGGAGUGCACGUCCAAGCAGUAAGGCUGAGUGUUAGGCAAAUCCGGCACUCAUAAGGCUGAGCUGUGAUGGGGAGAGGAAAUUGUUUCCUCGAGUCGCUGAUUUCACACUGCCGAGAAAAGCCUCUAGAUAGAUAACAGGUGCCCGUACCGCAAACCGACACAGGUAGUCAAGAUGAGAAUUCUAAGGUGAGCGAGCGAACUCUCGUUAAGGAACUCGGCAAAAUGACCCCGUAACUUCGGGAGAAGGGGUGCUCUUUAGGGUUCACGCCCAGAAGAGCCGCAGUGAAUAGGCCCAAGCGACUGUUUAUCAAAAACACAGGUCUCUGCUAAACCGUAAGGUGAUGUAUAGGGGCUGACGCCUGCCCGGUGCUGGAAGGUUAAGAGGAGUGGUUAGCUUCUGCGAAGCUACGAAUCGAAGCCCCAGUAAACGGCGGCCGUAACUAUAACGGUCCUAAGGUAGCGAAAUUCCUUGUCGGGUAAGUUCCGACCCGCACGAAAGGCGUAACGAUUUGGGCACUGUCUCAACGAGAGACUCGGUGAAAUCAUAGUACCUGUGAAGAUGCAGGUUACCCGCGACAGGACGGAAAGACCCCGUGGAGCUUUACUGUAGCCUGAUAUUGAAAUUCGGCACAGCUUGUACAGGAUAGGUAGGAGCCUUUGAAACGUGAGCGCUAGCUUACGUGGAGGCGUUGGUGGGAUACUACCCUAGCUGUGUUGGCUUUCUAACCCGCACCACUUAUCGUGGUGGGAGACAGUGUCAGGCGGGCAGUUUGACUGGGGCGGUCGCCUCCUAAAAGGUAACGGAGGCGCUCAAAGGUUCCCUCAGAAUGGUUGGAAAUCAUUCAUAGAGUGUAAAGGCAUAAGGGAGCUUGACUGCGAGACCUACAAGUCGAGCAGGGUCGAAAGACGGACUUAGUGAUCCGGUGGUUCCGCAUGGAAGGGCCAUCGCUCAACGGAUAAAAGCUACCCCGGGGAUAACAGGCUUAUCUCCCCCAAGAGUUCACAUCGACGGGGAGGUUUGGCACCUCGAUGUCGGCUCAUCGCAUCCUGGGGCUGUAGUCGGUCCCAAGGGUUGGGCUGUUCGCCCAUUAAAGCGGUACGCGAGCUGGGUUCAGAACGUCGUGAGACAGUUCGGUCCCUAUCCGUCGUGGGCGUAGGAAAUUUGAGAGGAGCUGUCCUUAGUACGAGAGGACCGGGAUGGACAUACCUCUGGUGUACCAGUUGUCGUGCCAACGGCAUAGCUGGGUAGCUAUGUAUGGACGGGAUAAG